ensembl:lncRNA
AAAAAGAGGACAUGUCCGGGGAAAAGAGGACGUUUGGUCACCCUAAUGAAACAGCCUGAUAACUCUGUCCUCGCAGCAGCUAACGAUGGCUCACCGCUUGUGUAGCUACAGCAGCUAGCUAGCCAUCUACUUUCUAUUCGUAUUUAUUUCUCUACACAAUAGAAAAGCGAUGUGCUCUCGUGCCUCAUGCAGCUCUUCUGUGUUGCACGUCAAUACUUUGAGACAAACAAGGAGCGUCAAUCUAACAACGCAACCAUGUAAUGCCUCAGGAGUCUGUAGAGGGAACGAAGACGCGUUCUGCUGCACUUAACAGAGCUCAAGACCAACUGGACGCCAUCAGGACGCCACGUCAACGGGACGCCAUCAGGACACCAUCAGGACGCCACGUCAACGGGACGCCAUCAGGACGUCACGUCAACCCCUCAGGAGCAAAUCCAGAUCUACGCAUGACACACAUACACACACACACACACAGAUGUACACACAGACACACUAACAUUUGGUUCUAAACAAUGACACACACUAACAUUUAGAUGUACACAAAGACACAUUAAUAUUUAGAUGUACACACAGACACACUAACAAUUAGAUGUACACACAGACACACUAUCAUUUGGUUCUAAACAAAGACACACACUAACAUUUAGAUGUACACAAAGACACAAUAACAAUUAGAUGUACACACAGACACACUAACAAUGAGAUCUACACACAGACACACUAUCAUUUGGUUCUAAACAAUGACACACACUAAUAUUUAGAUGUACACAAAGACACACACUAACAUUUAGAUGUACACACAGACACACUAACAAUGAGAUCUACACACAGACACACUAUCAUUUGGUUCUAAACAAUGACACACACUAAUAUUUAGAUGUACACAAAGACACACACUAACAUUUAGAUGUACACAAAGACACAUUAAUAUUUAGAUGUACACACAGACACACUAACAAUUAGAUGUACACACAGACACACUAACAUUUGGUUCUAAACAAAGACACACACUAAUAUUUAGAUGUACACAAAGACAAUAACAAUUAAAUGUACACACAGACACACUAACAAUUAAUUCCACACACAGACACACUAACAAUUAGAUGUACACACAGACACACUAACAUUUGGUUCUAAACAAAGACACACACUAACAUUUAGAUGUACACAAAGACACAUUAAUAUUUAGAUGUACACACAGACACACUAACAAUUAGAUCUACACACAGACACACUAACAAUUAGAUCUACACACAGACCCACUAACAAUUUAGAUGUACACACAGACACAUCCUGGUGACCCUCCUCACGUCUCUUCUCCUUGUCUGCAGACCAACAGGACGCCACGUCAUCGGGACGCCUUCAGGACGCCGCGUCAGCCCCUCAGGAGCAAAUCCAGAUCUACUCAUGACACACCCACACACACACACACACACACACACAGAUGUACUCACAGACCCACUAACAUUUGGUUCUAAACAAAGACACACACUAACAGUUGGAUGUACACAAAGACACAUUAAUAUUUAGAUGUACACACAGACACACUAACAAUUAGAUGUACACACAGACACACUAACAAUUAGAUGUACACAGACACACUAACAAUUAGAUGUACACACAGACACAUCGUGAUGAUCCUCCUCACGUCUCUUCUCCUUGUCUGCAGACCAACAGGACGCUAUCAGGACGCCACGUCAUCGGGACGCCAUCAGGACGCCGCGUCAACCCCUCAGGAGGAAAUCCAGAUCUACUCAUGACACACACACACACACACACAGAUGUACACACAGACCCACUAGCAUUUGGUUCUAAACAAAGACACACACUAACAUUUAGAUGUACACAAAGACACACUAACAAUUAGAUGUACACACAGACCCACUAACAAUUAGAUGUACACACAGACACACUAUCAUUUGGUUCUAAACAAAGACACACACUAACAUUUAGAUGUACACAAAGACACAAUAACAAUUAGAUGUACACAAAGACAC